CCACCAUAUCUGGUUAAGUGUUCCACAUUUUUUUGAGGCUAUAUUGUUUUUCUCUAUGUUCAUGAUUCAAUUCUGAAUAAGCAGAAUAUGAUUUUUUUCUAUACAAGCUUUGGUGUUAGUUAUAUCUGAUCUGCUCAAGGGACUAGAAAAUUUUUUUUUCCACCUCUUUACCCAAUAUCAACACUGAUUUUAUUGUAUAGUAAGCCAAAUUCUGUUGCUACAAUAAUAAUUCCUAAAUGGACACAUACACAUACACACAAACACACCUAAUAAUCUCAGCAAAUUUAAAUUUAAAACUAUUCAUUUAAAGCAGGACUUCAUAUCUAAGCAUAUGCUGGUAUUUUUUAUUUUCUAAUAGUAGUUCCACAUCCCUCUUGAUGUUUUAAUAUUUGCUAAUUUCUGAGAUAGUGUGGUGAGCCAUUCUAAUUAGACCGUGGCCGCCAUUAGAAGAUGGCGCCGGUUUCCACUGUGGCCUGUGAUAAACAACUCCUAAUAUGGAGAAUUGGCAUGCAAUCCCUUCCCACCCUAUGAGAAAGGUCCACGUGGCAGCUUGGGAUUGG
rnacentral:lncRNA from 1 species